rnacentral:rRNA from 1 species
AGACAAUAGAUACCCAGGUAGUCCUGGCCUUAAACGAUGAUCACUAGGUGUAGGAGGCUUCGACCCCUUCUGCGCCGCCGCUAACGCAUUAAGUGAUCCGCCUGGGGAGUACGGCCGCAGGGUUAAAACUCAAAGGAAUUGACGGGGGCCCGCACAAGCAGUGGAGCAUGUGGUUUAAUUCGAUGCUACGCGAAAACCUUACCAGGGUUUGACAUCCCGGUGAAACCCCAUAGAAAUAUGGGGCCCCUUCGGGCACCGGUGACAGGUGGUGCAUGGUUGUCGUCAGCUCGUGCCGUGAGGUGUUGGAUUAAGUUCCGCAACGAGCGCAACCCUCGUUGCUAGUUGCCAUCAUUAAGUUGGGCACUCUAGCGAGACUGCCAGCGUCAAGCCGGAGGAAGGUGGGGAUGACGUCAAAUCAUCAUGCCCCUUACAUCCUGGGCUACACACGUGCUACAAUGGCCGGUACAACAGGUUGCUACCUCGCGAGAGGAUGCGAAUCCCCAAAGCCGGUCUCAGUUCGGAUUGCAGGCUGC